UACGAAGGGGACUAGCGUUGUUCGGAAUCACUGGGCGUAAAGCGCACGUAGGCGGAUGUGUCAGUCAGGGGUGAAAUCCCGGGGCUCAACCUCGGAACUGCCUUUGAUACAGCACGUCUCGAGUCCGGAAGAGGUGGGUGGAAUUCCUAGUGUAGAGGUGAAAUUCGUAGAUAUUAGGAAGAACACCGGUGGUGAAGGCGGCCCACUGGUCCGGUACUGACGCUGAGGUGCGAAAGCGUGGGGAGCGAACGGG
rnacentral:rRNA from 1 species